rnacentral:miRNA from 1 species
ACACACACAUGAGAAAAUGAUCUCCUAAGUAUCGGUGUUUAACUUAUAUUAAGCACCAAUGACAUGACAUACCAUUAAAUUGAUGAAUUAUUAAAUACAUGGGGCCUAUCAUUAACUUAAUAAUUCACCAAUUUAAUGGUGUGUCAUGUUAUCGAUCUUAACAUAAAUUAAGCGACAAUAUUUAGGAGAUCAUUCACGUGUGUGUGU